GGAUUCGAAGGUGCUACGAUUCGAAUUGACUACGUUGUGCGCAGACCUUGUGAAUUUAGCCCGACCAAACUGAUAAUAUACCUCUCGAGUGAGGUGGGUAAGGCCCCACGAACGUGAUCUUGGCUUCAACAUCACCCCAUUUGUGCGGAAGCUGACAAGGCGCAUCCCAUGUUUUGCUGGGGCGGAAUUUGCCGGAACGGUCGACAAGAUCCUUGUCUGAAGCUUCGACGAUGUGGG
rnacentral:lncRNA from 1 species